GUCCUCUCUCCCAUGGUGGGUGGGUGGGGGGUUUCCUUUUUUCCUCAGCCAAGGCUGAAGGUAAAGAUCAGAUCUUGAGGAUCAUUGUCAAGACUGCCAUGCACUGGGAAGCUUUGUUUUCCUACCUCAGACUGUA
ensembl:scaRNA